rnacentral:rRNA from 1 species
AUUGAACGCUGGCGGCAUGCCUUACACAUGCAAGUCGAACGGUAACGGGCCUUCGGGUGCCGACGAGUGGCGAACGGGUGAGUAAUGCAUCGGAACGUACCUUUCAGUGGGGGAUAACGUAGCGAAAGUUACGCUAAUACCGCAUAUUCUGUGAGCAGGAAAGCAGGGGAUCGCAAGACCUUGCGCUGAUUGAGCGGCCGAUGUCAGAUUAGCUAGUUGGUGAGGUAAAGGCUCACCAAGGCGACGAUCUGUAGCGGGUCUGAGAGGAUGAUCCGCCACACUGGAACUGAGACACGGUCCAGACUCCUACGGGAGGCAGCAGUGGGGAAUUUUGGGACAAUGGGGGCAACCCUGAUCCAGCCAUGCCGCGUGAGUGAAGAAGGCCUUCGGUUGUAAAGUCUCUUUCGGUCCGGGGAACGGAAAGUACGG